CUCUUUAUAUCUAUUUUUUUUGCACUAUUUUAUUUAAAUUCAUAAGUUUUUUUCGGACUAAAUUACACCAUACUCCUUAUAAAUAUCCUUUUUUCACUUUUCCUUCCUAAUUUUAAAAAAACCUAUGUUUUGCCCCCUUAAAAUUUCAAAAAUAUUUUCAGGAGGAUACGGUGUUAAUAAAGAGCGCAAAAUGACCAAAUUAUCCUUACUUAUUCUAUAAGAAAAAAAUAAUUUUUUAAUAUAUUUCAGUCAUUUUGAAUAAUAUUUUGGAUAUAAAUUAUAAAAAAUGGACGGAAUAGUAAUGGAAUCUUGAAGGAGGGGGACUAAAUGCAAUAAUUUAAAAUGUUGAGAGUGUAAAAUAUAAAUUUUUGAAAGUUAGGGUGAAAAAGUGAAAAAAAAGAUAUUUAUAAGAAAGUUUUUUGUAAAUUAUCUUGUUUUAUAUUAUGUUUACUUUUUAUAAAAUUUAAGAAGCUUAUAUCUAUAGAUAAUUUUUUUUGUUUUUAGUUCUAUAUAUUUCUCAGUCUUUUUAUUUAGAAAAAACUUAAAAAAAAAAUUCCUUGUGAUUUCGUACUUUUUCAUUUUAGUACCCUGUGGUUUAAAGUGUAUCAAGUUAGUACCCUGUGGUUUCGCACUUUCUCAUUUUAGUACCCUGUGGUUUAAAGUGUAUAAAGUUAGUACUCUGUGGUUUUAUUUUUGUAUCAAGCUAAUACAAUGUGAUUUUAUUUUUGUAUCAAGUUAGUACCCUGUGGUUUUUAAACUAUAGGGUACUAAAGUGAAAAAGUGUGAAACCACAGGAUACUAAAAUGAGAAAGUGCGAAACCACAGGGUACUAACUUGAUACACUUUAAACUACAGGGGUACUAAAGUGAAAAAGUGCAAAACCACAGGGUACUAACUUGAUACAUUUUAAACCACAGGGUACUAAAGUUAGUAAAAGUGAAACCACAAGGGGGGUAUUUGAAGUUUUUCCUUUUAUUUAUAUUCGUAUCCGUUUAAUAUCCGACCAGUAUCCGAACCCAUUUUUAAGGGAUAAAAAUUUGAAUUUUAGUUUCUGAUAA
rnacentral:lncRNA from 1 species